rnacentral:tRNA from 1 species
UCCGAUGUAGUCUAGCUGGUUAGGAUUCGUGGCUUUCACCCACGCGACCGGGGUUCGGAGUCCCCGCAUCGGAA